GCAACCGGCACCAAUGUUGUGCCCUUCUGAACACCAGCUCCCAAAGCGACGCCGACGGAUGGCUUCCGUUGGCAGUAGGAUUCAUGAGGAUAUACUCUUCUUCGAAAUUCUGGUACUACUUCCGGUAAAGUGCCUUUUGCGCCUCCAAUCGGUGUGCAAACUGUGGCGCGCAACCAUAACCAGCACUCAUUUUGCCCACCGUCACCUCGAGCGUUUGAGAUCCAAAUCCUCUUUUCUCCUGACGCCCCGGAGGUCUAACAAGGACUACAGCUAUGGCAUUAAGGGUUUGUCCAUCUUCAGAUUUGAGCCGGAGCAGCUCCCUACCAAGAUCGCCCCGCUCCUAAUGCAGAAGGAAUUGAGGAUCCCGAUGUUCACCUUGCCUUUGCACCGCGACAGGCUGAUUCUGAUCCCUUGCUUAUUUGGAAGGACAUUUUUGUGCAAUCCUGCAACUAGGGAGUUUGUCCAGCUUCCACCGGGAAGCGGCCUUGUAUCACUCCAGUGUAGGGUCGCCUUUGGGUUCGACCCCUCAAGUGGCAAGUAUAAGGUGACCAGGCAUUUCUUUCGCUCAUUUAGCGAGACCAUCGAUGCCGCUGGACAGAGCACAUGUACAGUUGUGCUGCACGACGCUGGGCAUGAGGUCUUAACCCUAGGUGGUGAUGAUCAAGAGAGUUUGAGGUGGAGGGCCACUGUGGACCCACCUUACCCCAUCAUUCCUAGGACUCCGGCUUGUCUGCCAGGGUUCUUCUACUGGAGUGCUCUUCACUCCUUGACCGGCGGCCAUGGCGACGACAAGGGGCUUUCGAAGCACGUAUGACAUGCUAUGCGAGAUUGGUGGGAAGUUAGGCUAUAUCGACUCGAACUCACAGUGGGAUGCAGAGAUUUGGUUGGCGGAGGAUGCUGAUGGAAAAGAUCUUGCAUGGUCACUGUGCUGUCGCAUCCGCUUGCCCAUACCAAGGCGGCUUAGGCUUCAUUGUUGCCCUUCGGCCGACCAGGACAAGAAAAGACGAAUAGUCAAAUGAAGAAAAAAAGUCAAUGGUGUCAUAUAUUUAAGAACGGAGGGAGUAUUAUCUUCUCAAGUGCAACUUGCGUGAUGGAUCUCUAGAAGAAAUUGUUGAUAUGGCACGCAAGAUGAAGUAUGCGGACCAUCAAGGAAAUCUAGUUACUAGCGCUGAUGGACUGAAGUAGUAUGAUAUUGUUGAAGGCAAGGGCCAAACUGCUGAAAAGGGCUCCACUGUUCUGGUUCAUUUUGACUCCAUAUACCGUUGCGUCACCGCAGUGUCGAGCCGUGAAUCCAAGCUCCUAGCAGGGAACCGAAGUAUCGCACAGUAGCCUUAUGAGUUCACUGUCGGGUCACUGCCUGGUAAAGAACGAAAGCGGGACUUUGCAGACAAUGCGAAUGGACUAUACUCAGCACAAGCCGCACCAAAGCCUCCAGCUGCCAUGUACACGAUAACUGAAGGGACGAAAGUAGGGGGAAAGGUACAACAAGCACUACUCAAUAAAAACAAUUCGGUCUUCCAACGUACUCUCUCCGUUCAUAAAUUGUUGUCAUCAGGACAACAACUUUAGUUCACUUUUGAACUAGUCCUAACGACAACAAUUUAAAAACGGAGAGGGUAUGUUGUUUUAUUGACUUGAUCUUUGUCAUGCACAUUGUACCUCCGGAGCUUGGAUAUGGGAAAAGGGGGAUGAGUGAGAUACCUGUGAGUGUUUGUUAAAUUGUUCUUCAUGCUGUUUAGUCUAGCUAACUCGUGUCUUGAGGUUAUUUGUUGGAUUACAUGCAUCUUUGUAGCCUGAUUCCACGUUUAAGAUGGAUAUAGACCUAUUGGUGGUGAUCCCUCCAGCAGAAAAAUAACCUCUUUUGGCUUCA